UCCACUUGCUUUGGGUCAUGCUUCUCAGCACCAUUCUGCCCAUAAAUUGCUCCGGGAUGCAAAUUAUCACUUCCUUGAAAUUCAUUGCCAUCCUUCUCAUCCAAUUCAAUCCUCAUCACAACCCCUUCCACUGUGUCCUCAAUUUGUUCCUCUUUCUCCUAUCCAUCAUAACUUCUCUUCUAAAGCCCAGUCGUCAUUGUUCCUUCAGAUCCACAAUUAAAAUCUGAAGACUUCUUCUUCUUGAUUUUCAUCAGACAAGAUUGUUCCAUACUCCAACAUAAAAG
rnacentral:lncRNA from 1 species